rnacentral:lncRNA from 1 species
CUCCUCUGUGCUCCCAUAACACUCUUCAACCCGCUCACCAUGUUUUCCUAUGUCACAAUGUGUUAUUGUACAGCAAAUACCUGGCUUAGGUCAGUGUUCCAUAACUACUUAUUGCAACUGCCUAUUUAGUUGCCAACCAUGUGGAUAGUAGACCAUGAGUUCUUUCCAUUUAUUUCACAUGUGUUGAGCUCAUACUAUGUGCCAGCUACUAUUUGGUGUUGGAGAUACAGAAACAAAUAAGCUGUGCCUCAUGGUUAGAUGUACUCAGCAGGCUAGAUGCAUACAGAUGUCCCCACUGUGUGGGAUCCUUGGCCGGAAGUGGGGUGUGGUGCUCACCUGCUGCAUUUAGCCCAAUCUCCAAUGAGCUUUCUGAAUCUGCUGCCAGGAGUAGAAUGGGGCAAUGACUCAGAAUCAUAAGCAAAAGGAAGAUGAAUCAGUUGGACAUGACAAACUUCUGGACACUUUAGAAGAACAUUCUGGGGUGACCAAGCACUUAAACUUCUGAGGGAAAUCAUCUAUAAGGUGUAUGAACAGCAAUACUGUUUAUGGCUUGUUCUUACUAUGGAAACCAGACUCUUCAAUGCCAAAUGGGACCAAGGCUAAUUGUUCUGUGUGACAAACACACCAUUCCAAAGUCUCAAUGAGUAGAAUCCUUCCUGGGGCUGGAACUACUGACAGGUGGAACAGACUGCUGAGGAUUAUAAGUUGGACCAUCAAGGUAUUCAUCUUUCUGCACAGUGGCUGACAUAGUCAACCACACGGCCCAUCCUCUGGGGUGAGGUUAAUCUGCGUCUCAACUGAAGGAGUAGGCAGCCUCACUCUCUUAAAUAAAUGGCUGUGUCUCAGAAAUCAUGGGUGGUGAUUCUGAAGAUCCAUUUGGAUCCUUCUUAAAAUAUGUCAAUCAUUGUAGCUUAUCUCCUGUUACUCUGUAUGUGUUGUCCGGAGAGUGGAAUGCUUUUAGGCCAUCUCUGAUCCAAUGGAUAGCACAAAAAAUGAGUCAAAGACAAAAACGAGGAGGAGCCAGGCUUGACUGACACUCAAAUUGAAAACCGGAUCUCUGUGAAUGGCAAAAUGGAAGUGUGUUUUUUUCAAGGAAGGCUGGGGACAGUGGCAAAGAUCUGGACAACCUUGGAGGAGUAUUCCUGCAGCUGUGGUGGAGGGUGGACCAAGAGAUGGAGACUGGGAGUAAAAUGUGAAGGGCACACACUCCUAGGUAGAGACCGACUGCCCUGUAACCAUGGCAGCAGGUAAUCCCUAGAACCUGUGUUAAACCUAUGGAACCCACUAAUGAAACUCUGCCACUAUCACCAAUCUCCUGAAAGUGAGACCGAUUCCAG